rnacentral:sRNA from 1 species
AUGGAUUUUAGUUCCCUCACAGUUACAGAGGCCUUGGCUUCCAGAUCCUAUGAAAAGUUCUCUCAUAUCUGUGACCACCUUUUGCUUCAGGCAAAUUCUUCUUCUUCUUUUGUCGUUGUUGUUGUUGUUGUUGUUGUUGUUGUUGUGCGUGCCACCUGAUACAGUGUUAAUGUUGUUUGAACAGGCUGCUGCAGAGGGCGUUGCUUAUGAGGACGAUUGGCCCUACUACUCUAUUCAUCUUCUCGCCCACAUUUACGUUGAUGAUAUGUAUGUCUUUUUUUUUUUUCUUGGAACCUAACAAUACAAUGUUUCAUGUUGCUAACACUUGUUGGUGUUUCCCAUGUUUUUUUAAGAGAGGCCUUUGCGUUUAUCAUUUCUUGGUUCUGCCUUUUGGUUCAUUGCCACUAGCACUAAAUUAUGGCUUUUCAUAAUAUCCGGUAAAAACUUAGGUACAGUUACUUAGGAUUACUACAUUAAUUAAACUCAAUGUUAAUUAUUAGCAUUGAUAUACAAUAUGCUAGUAUGGAUGCGAAAGCGAAAGCAUAAAGUAUAUAACAUAUUAACACACAAGGGUUACGUGGUUCAACUUAAUAGUCUACAUUCACAAGGAAAAUCUUAAAGAAGUACAUCAAUAAUAUACCUGAGUGUAUUACAAAUCUUAUGUUAUAAUGAACCAUAACAUGUGUAUAUAUAGUAAACUAAACCCUAGACUAAUAGAUUUCUAGUAUAAGUAGGAGACUUAGCUUGCACACAAAGUAGAAUUAGAUUUGGGCCUAUGUUAAUGAGCUAAUAUAUCUCUAACACUAAAAAAUAUAUAACACUGUUUAUACUUAGUUGGUCAAUGCAACCAUAUGUUUGAAUUUAAUUGAAGAGCCUAAUGUACUGCAUCUAAGAAACUGUGCCUAAGUUUUGACCUUUUAUAUCGUAAAUGUGUUGUUUUCCUAACUGGGUGUUUUGAGUAAGCCAUGUUUUGCAACAACAAUAGGUUUUGGUGUUUGUGGUGUUGUUGUUCUAUGAGUUGGAUUUUAUGGGAUUCACCUAUUUCAUAUGUGGAUUGGGUAUAUUGCAGUGACAGUGCUCGGUUUCUCUGGAAAUUGAUAGCUUCUGCAAUUAAGGAGAGUCAGCUAGAAGUGGAUGCAAUUUAGAAAAUUGGUCAGAAGCUAUGGAAGCGGGAUUAUGGUGGUGUGCAUGAGGCUAUUCGUGGGUUUGAUUGGAGUCAAGAAGUUCAGUGUCUUGUUGCUGCAUUCUCAGGCAAGUCUUUUAAAAUUACAUCUUACACAAUACUACAUUACCACUAUUUAUUAUAUACAUAUAUCUUUGUUUCUUUUAACUCCUUUUGAAUGUACUGUGGAUCAAUACCUUUUGGUGCGUAUCUAAGUUACCAAUAAAAAAAUUUAUUAUUAUUACAACAGAGCUAGGAAUUCAUCAUUUAGAUGGUGGAUGAGUGAUAGCAAGACUUAUGUUCAAAUUAAUGUUUUCAUACAUAUAUAUAUAUAUAUAUAUAUAUUUUUUGCUUUUGGUAGUUGGGGGGAAUCAGCAUUUUUUUAUUGUUGCUGAUGUCAAAUAUAACAUAGGAGAGGGAGACAUUGUUUUAAUGAUGAGAGGCUUUUUUUGCUUUAAAGUGUGAACACAAGGAUGAUAGACAAUCAUUUUCAUUUUCUUCUUUUUGUUUUGUUUUCUCAUCGCUUCUCAAUUGCAUAGUUUAAGAAGUAUGAAAUUCUCAAAAUUAUAGGGCUAAUGGACAGAGGAGUUGUUAAUGGACCUUGUUCUUGGGAGUUUGGAAGGGUUGAAUCAUGAGGGAACAUUGUUAUUUUUUCCUUGAGGUUGUGGUGGCAUCAAGUUCGUGGCUCCAAGAUCACCUCAAGAGGCUUGCUUUGGGGUUUUGUACAGCAUGGCUUGGAUUUGUGUUUAAGGGUUGGCCGCAUGUAGAUUUCGGCAAGGUGAUGCUGCAUGGUUUGGCAUGACGACAUUUGAUUUUUAUUUUUUAUUUUUUUCUUCAAAAUCUUAUCUUUUAUUGCUGGGUAUAUAAGUUUUUGAAUUUAUUGGGUAAAUCUUAGAUUUUAUCACUGGGUGUUGAGUUUUUGAAUUUUUUGGGAAAAUCUUAGAUUUAUAUUGCUAAGUGUUACUGGCUUAGAUUGGGGUUGAAAUCGUGCUAUUAAUUGGUAUUUGAGAGAUUUUUUAAACAUAAAUUUUAGACCUUUUUUAUAUAAAAAAAAUGUUAAUGAACUUUUAGUAUUUGUUUUUGUAUAAAAAAAAAAGGUUUUUUUUUUAUUGCCAACGGCAGAUUUUUAAUGGUAUUGGAUGGGAAGGACCUUGCUAACAAUAAAUGUGAACAUUUAGGACUGACAUUACAAAAAAUGAACUUUAGGGAUGAGAAUGACAAUUGACACAAACUUAUAGGGUAUAAUUUGGAUUUUAGCCUACAGUAUUUGUACUCAAGGGAUGAGAUUGAAGUUGGUAUUUUAUGGAACAUCAUUAAUUAAAAGAAUAAUAUUUCAGCAUAUUUCACUGACAACAAUGAGAAACACUUUGUUCUUUGAGCAGAGUUUGGUAUUAUGAAUUUAAGCUGUACCUCUUAAAGAAGUAGAAAUUUUGUUGAUAAAGAAUUUGAUUGAUUUGGAUGAUUGGGUGCUUUAACUAAUGCUAAAUUGUCAAUUUAAACAGUAAGGCAAGGGUCUUACUUGGUUUGUGAAAGAAGGAAGCUCAUGUGUUGCCUUAGCAGUCAAACAUGGAUUUCCAAUUCAGGCCAGGAAGAAAAAUGGAAAUUUGUUUCAUUGUUGACAGUGAGCUCAUGUCUUUUUUAUUUUGUUGUGUAUGGACUGCUUAUGCAGGUAUUAGGAACCACUAAAGUGACCUUUAGUCUUAAAGCCCUAUCUCUGGUGAGAGACAAAGCUUCUCUGUGCCCUGGGGAACACUGGUGCCUUGGGAGAUUUAAUUGUGCUUGUUAUCUUAUCUCCUGGAAAUAACUUAUAAGAAUAAAAAUUCCUGGAAUUGAGACUCUAUUAGGUGCUAGAGUCUCAAUUAACACUUUGCUAUGUGUUCUUGCUGAAUUAAAUCCCAAAGUUACCUCAAGUAAUCAUGUCUUCUGUCUAUAUUAUUCUUCAAUGGAAGUUACAACUAUCAAGCUUAAAGCCUCACUAAUAGAGUGACGAGUAACCUAUUUUCCACGUAUCAGUUUAGAUUAACCUUCAACUUCAUGGUAUUGAUGGUCCCAAUCUUUUUCUUUUACAUAUAUAUUGUUUUAAAAAUAAAAUCUAGUAACAACAUUACUGGCUACUCAACCUACUUAAAUAUGUAGUUCACCAGCUUCCUAAUAAUAGUCAACUUCUUAGUAAACUCCUUGGCGAGUUCCUACAGUACUGAAACUUGCUCUUUCAUCUUUAAAGAAUAAAAUUGUAUGAUCUUGUGACUGUCUAUAAUUGUGAUUGAAUUUUUGGCUUGCUGGAUGAGACAGUUGGUUACCUUAGUGGAAAAAUGUGGAAAGCUGUUCCUUUAUGUUUUAUGUGGUGUUUUUGGAGAGAACGAAAUGCUCAGAUUUUUAGGGCUGUGAAACAGCUGUUGUGAAGCUCAAAUUUCAGUUUUCUGAGACCAUUUUAUCAUUGUUUGGAAAAUUCUCUCACUUUUUUUGAGUUUUGUUGUAGUUCACUGAACUCCUAUAUUUCAGGAACUAGUCUGUGUUUUCCUUCUUGUCUAUUUCAUAUGUGCUGUUAUGUUCUAAUAAAUAAUUAUUUAUAAAAGAAUAUUGUUGGAUGGUUUCCCUUUUUUCUUUUGGUUUUUGAUGGUUUGAUAAAAAUGAAGUAAGUAAGGCUGCUCUUGAUUUAGUGAGGCAAAACAUUUCAACUUAGAUCUACAUGUUCAUUCCUUCUCUUUCCUUGUUAUCUUUUGGGGCCUGUGUAGUAGUAAUCAUAUUUAUCUCCCCAAUCUCCACCUAGUUUUCCUCCCAAUGUUGGGUAAAUAGAAAAUGUUGGCUUGGCUUCUGCCCUUCCCUUUCUCUUCUAUACCAAACGAGAGAACUCUCCAUCCAAAUGGCACUCUCUCCUCUCAAAAGUGUGGGUGGAAGGUGAUGUUAUGGGUUUAAAACACAUUGGAUGCUUGUGUUACUUACCAACAAAAAAAAAUCAUGGUUUGGACUGCAUAAAAAUUAUAAGACCCUGUUGGAGACCAGCCAAGAGUAGGGGUUUUGAGGUUCGAAGUUAUCAUCACUCCUUAUCCUCACCUAAUGGGAUGCCGUUGCCUUGGAAUAUGUUGAUGUGAUCGAAGGUCCCUCUUAGGGUUGCAGGUUGCCUUUUUUUCUUGGACUGCUGCUCUAGGGAAGAUUUUAUCCACUGACAAUCUUCGGAAGAGAGGUAUUAGAGUUUUGGAUCGGUGUUGCAUGUGUAAAAGGGAUGGGGAGUCUGUGGACCACCUUCUUCUUCAUUGUCCAAUAGCUUACGAGCUGUGGACAAUGGUGUUUUGUUUCUUUGGAAUUGAAUGGAUUAUGCCAAAGAGGGUUAUCGAUAUGUUUGCAGCUUGGUAGGGUUCUUUUGGAAGGCAUAGAAAUAUAACCUUUUGGAAGGUUGUGCCACAUUGCAUCUUGUGGUGUCUUUGGCAUGAACGGAAUGCUAGAAGUUUUGAGGGAUGUGAACGGUCUAUCCUUGACAUUAAAGCCUUCUUCUUUUGUACACUAUUAGGUUGGAGUGUCGCUUUUCAUUCUUCUCCUUAUUUUUCUCUUUUAGAUUUGUUCAAAUAUUGUAAUUUGAGAGUUUGAUUGUUCCUCACCCUUAGUACACCCCCAGUGUACUUGGUUUUUGUUUUUUAAUAAAUCUUUUUGUUACUUAUCAAUAUAUAUUUAUAUAAAAGAUAUUAGAGCUCUCAGGACUUCAACAUUAUAAAAACUUUAAGCAAAUUUAAUAAUCACCUUGUAUAUGUAUUACACCAACCAGUUCUUGUCCUCAUAAUUAAUAAUUUUUCUCUGUUUGACAAUUGUGAAUAUAUUGUUGAAAUGAGAUCUAAAGCCUUGAAAAGAUUGGCAUAGGAUAAUUUGAAGGGAACUGCAACAUGUUACAUCCCUGAAAUUCGGUCCAAGUUCAAUUUUUUACAUAUAAAAGGUUGUAAUUUUUCCUUCCAUCCGUAUGUCGUUAGAGAUGUUGCAAUAUUGCAUGCCUGACCUUGUAGUUUUGCGGUUGUGUGUUAAUGAUUUUUUAUUUUUGAUAAGUUGUUAAGUGGGUAAAUGACAAUCAGCUAAGCCAUAUAAUGGAUUCUGUCAUUACAGAAUUCUAUUGAAUUCUGUAAAUCUGUUUUCAUAUUUAAAGCACUACCUAAUGUAUAUAGAAUUACCAAUCUUACUUCUUUGGUCAAUAUGAAAUCUUGAGAUCCAUACUUGAAUGAUAAUUGUUUUCUGCAAAAGGGAAGUUUCUAAUUUUCAAAAAUUAAGGUGGUUCUUUGAAAUAGAAUUAGAAUGAGGUUAGUAUAUGUUAUUUUUUAAAAUUUUAUUUACCUUAUAGUUUGAAAUUGAUUUCUCCCAAAAAUUUUGGGAUUAAAGUUUUUUGUUGUUGCUGCUGCUGUUUUGAAAUUGAUUUAGUUGAAGAUUUUUUGAAUAUUUUUUUGCACAAUUAUUUUCAUUUCUUGGUAUAAAAAAACUUGGGGUCUUAAACCCAUGACCUCACCCCCACCUGAUUGUUACAAGGGGAAUAUACAAUUUUAGAUACAAUUCUUUGGCCUGUACAAUUAUUUCUACAGUUGAAUAACCAAUAGGCACAAAGAUGGGCAUGGAUUAUAUAAUAAGAGGCAUUCUUGAAGAAUUCACUGUUUGCUUUGUUUGUUAUAUGUAUUAAAUUUUCUUGAGGGUACUUGUCAUUUCUUAUUGAUGAAUAGUUAUAUUCCAUGUUUUUUGACUAUUACCUUCUUCGAGUUGAUUGGCACCAUGACACUUCAGCUCACCAACUUAUUAGUAACUUUCUUCUGAACCUUUUGCAGAGCUUUACACAAAGAGGAUGUUUCAACUGCUGCUUUCUGCUUAUUCUACAAUAACCAUCCAAGACACUGCUCUCUUUCUGGGAAUGAAUGAGGAUGAUGCCACUAAUUGUAAGUAUCUUAUUUUCCAUGUUUGACUUAAACAGAUAUAGCUGCCUUCUUAAAUCAAUGUAUGAACAUCUUUCCUUUAUUAUAAUCCUUUCUGAUUUAAGCAUGUCUAUCUUCCAGAUAGUAAUCUUAUUGUUGUGCUGCACAAUUAAAAAAUACAAAGAUAAAUAACUGUCCAAAGGGGACUUAUACAGCCAGAACCUCAAAUAAAUAGAUGACUUCAUACACUCGUAACGUACAGUCCCCCUCUAUUUCAAAUUUUGUUAGGUUCCUGUGUUGCUUAACUGCACACAAAAUCUUUAUAAAGCCUUUUGUGAAAGGUCUCACAUUGUCUUUCUGAGCCUCAUAGCAUGUUGGCUGAUAAUGUGUAUGUUUUUUUUAUUGUAGUUUAGGUCCCAUCUUUGCGGUUGCUCGGUGGAAAAAAAAACUGUCAGCAAUGCCUGAUUAGCCAAUUCUAAUUCCUGAGAACUUAUGCCGGAUCAUUCAGGUAAAAGAACUAAGGAAGCCCUUAGAGAAAAAUGAAGUUCCAUGAUUGUUCAAAGAUACUAAUAGUUGAUGUAUAAAUCCCAUCAUGGCCUGCUAAUUAUGUUGUUUCCGAUACCAUUGGUAUGAUUUGUGGACAUUCAUUAUGGUUCUGCAGAAGAAAAGUUUUUAAUUUAAAAUCUUGUAUUAGAAAAAUAGUUAGCGACCUAGAUAUAAUGCCAUCGGUUGUGCAAUGCUUAAUUUCAGUUGUUCCCUUGCAACUAUUGUUAAAUUGUUGUCAGCUAGAAUUGCUGAUGCAGGCCCAUUGCUUGCAGUUCCAUUGGCUUGUUGACAAGGUAGAAUUGGCUGUCAUCUAGAAGUAAUGCAUGUUAGAUAUAUUGUCAGAUCCUUGAUUUUCCAUUGCUAAAGGGCUCUUGGUUGGCAUAUGCAGAUGUCCUACAGCAAGGUUGGGUUGUGGACCCUGCUUCUCAAAUGCUUACUGUGAAGAAGCAGACUAUUGUGACAGAGCAAAAACUGGAUGCAACUAAAUUGCAGCGGUUGAUAGAAUAUGUCUUCCACCUUGAGCAUUAA